GUAGCCGUUGAGUCAUCCCGUUACGACCCAUAAGAAUAUGUAGCCGUUGCCCGUUGAGUCAUCCCGAUGCCUUCUCUCCCGUGUUUGCUCUCCUCUCGAGCGGCUCUCUCUGGCGAUCCCCAAUGUCACGUGAUCGCCUCCUCUCGUGAGGUCGAUCUGCUUUCUCCCCUUGCAGCGUGGGCAACGUACCACGAUCUCUAGUGCGACCAAUCGCUGCCGGAGGCCUGCGGAGCCUCCGACCGAGCUACAAUACCUAUAUCGCGGCACAAUCUUGCGAUCUCUGCAGCGAGGGUCGUCUUCUUGACUUCUUCUUUCCCAGCCUUCUUUCCCACCCUGGAGAAAUUGAAGUCGAGCAUCCCUUGCAUCUUUUUCAUUGUGAUGCUAUUUCACCUUUUUCUAGGUCUUGGUACUUUCUUUCUUGUUCGGUGAGAGAUAUCAGCUAUCGUUAGUGUAGUUUGGCUGGUGUUUUUUUUCCCAUAUGGCGUCGCUGAUUGGAAUGUUGUUUUCUUUUUAGUUUUUCAUUUAAUUGGGGAUUUUGGCAGUUGAUGUGACUUUCUUUCUUCUUGAUCAGGUGUUUAUAGACUUCUUUA